ensembl:lncRNA
UUGGGACACUACAUACGUGUGUGCCAAAUUUCGUAUAUUAAUGUGAAAUGUAGCAGGUGGGGCAUCACAAUUCCAAAAGGUUCCUUGCACCAUUGGUUCUCAAGCCCUUAAAUACUGUAUAUUGUAAAUAAUUCUAAAUUAUAAAAAAAACAGUAAAUGGAAAAAUUAAAGCUUAUACAGAUAAAUCUGAUGGCAACAAUUACAGGUAAGUAACUACACUGAAGCAUAAUAAUAUCUAAAUAUAAUUUUCUAAUAACAAUACAGUAAUGAAAUGAUUUACAUGGUGUAUUUUUAUAUGUGCAGAAACUUACAGUGAUACAAUAUUCUCUAAACAAAAAGAAAGAAAUCUAACUGUUAAUGUUGCCUGCUGUUCUAAGAGUUUAAAUCAGCAAACACACUGUACCCGAAGAAAAGAUUGCAGAAACUAAUAAUUUACAACAACCUUUAAAAAAAAAAAAAAAACCUUUAGUGUAUUGCUGAUAUUAAGAGCCUCAGAUAACUUAAUACAAAGUUCCCCUUCCACUCAUAUUAUUGCUGGGCUUGUCAUUAAGUAAUGUUCUAUUAUAAAUCAGUUUUUCUUGUGUACAUGCACAAUAGCACAUAGAGUUUGCUGUGUUCAUCCUCUCCUAUGAUUUUCAUCUUACUGCUGACAUUUGGUCUUGAAAAGAAGUAAAACCAUCUACAUCAAUGGUAAACAGAAGUAGGAGGAAUUAUGGUAAUCUGUUCAUUUGCUUACCCAAUGAAUUCUGUUCUAAAAUCAAUGAAUAUGCAUAAGAAAAGUAUAUAAACUGUUUCUGACCAAUAAACUGAAGGAGACUGAAGCAAACGACUGUGUGUGUGUCUCGUUCUUCCCGUGUGUGUUUGCAUGAAGAGAAUCUGAAGAAGAACGAUAAUUUCUCACUGGAGCUGAAGCCACCAAAUGAGAGAGAAUUAUUUGUCAAUGAUAAAGUUGUCUUGCAAGUUGUUGUUUCUGGAGAUAAAUGUCAGUCAGCGGAAAAGGCUUCAGUGGCAUGCAAAGUAAAGAAUGAAUCAGGAAAUAUAUACUUUUCUGAGGACACUUCACCGUUUAUAAGAGUCAAAAAUGUCACUGUUGAUGCAAAUAAAUGGUUUGAUGGUGAACCGGUCACCUGCACCAUUCAUGACCCAAAUAACAACAGAGACUUCCAGUGGGAGAUCCGUUUCGACAAAGGAGAUGGACAGAAACCCAGUGUUUUCAUUUACAAACCUGAUUUUAUUGGCACAGACAGAGUCUCUCUGGUGUGUGAGGUCACCAGCCCUAAACUUGGCAAUGUCUAUAUCAUGUGGAAAGUGGACGAUGAGCCUUACAGAAAGGGCUCAACCAGCGCUCCCAUCCAUCAACGGGACUCCACAUCUGUACUCAGCAUACUAACAUUGUCAAAAGAAGAGUAUGAAGCUUCCAAGACCACCAUCACCUGCGCAGUCAUACAUGCCAACAUGAAUAAUAGAAGAGCUCCAUUACAAGUUUCAGCAUCCAAAAGUAAACAGCCAGAGUUAUAUUGUGAUUAAAGAACUGGACCAAAUGAUCACUGCGUUUAUGAUGUUGACUUCUAUGUUCUCAUCAGAUCAUAUAUCUUCGGUGUUUGUGCACUUUUCUGUCUGUAUCUGUUUCACUGAACUGAAUCGUUCAGACAUCAAUACCAAAUUAAAGUCCGAACUAUGUGCGUAAUAUGUUAUUGCAUGCAAUAAAUAUGUCCACACAAAACAUAUAAUCAGCAUAAAUAUCAUAGUGUGAAAAUUCAAGUGUUUUCAAGAACAUGUCCUGUGCUUUCUGUACUGCUGUUUACCCAGUCAUGCCAUGUAAUAUAUUCUAACAUUUUCAAAUUUUGUUUGCUAAAAAUUAUGAUUUCAAAUCCAAAACAGUUCAUUUUGUUGUUUUAGAAUAUUAAGCAAUAAAUAUUUGUGUUUGCAUGAUUCAGUUUAGCUCUCAAUGUGAUUCUGCAUAUAGUAAAGCCAAUUAUUGUUUCCAAUAGUGACUAUUAUAGUUACUAGUUAAUAAUGCAGUGCAAUUCAUGACAAACAUUACCCACUCAUUGUAGUGAUGAGUUAUGUAUUUUUAAUUAAUCUUUUGAAUGACUCAGUGAAUGAUUUGUUAAUUGUCAUGGCCGUCUAUGAACAACACUUUUUUCACUUAUGUUUGUUUACAAGAAUCCCUACAGUCACACGAGAAACUAAUUAACUUUUUUUAUUUAUACAACACAUUACAAAGGCAGAAAUAAAUCAAAUAAAUACAAAAUCCUUUAUGAUUAAAAAAAUAAAAUAAAAUGAUCCUUAACCUCUUAAGUUCUCUCUUUCAUGUUAUCUAUAUUGUUUUUAAUUUAUCUUGUUCUGCAUAACACUUUGGCCCUGGAGGAACAUUGUUUCAUUUCACUGUGUACUGUAUAUAGCUGAAAUGACCAGCCAGAGUUUUAAUACAAUAAAGCCACAUCUGUCAGCUACUCAUUGCUAUAACACGUGUACAUAUGAUUGUAUACAUACAAUUUAUCCUUGAAUAGACAAAGUCAAAUGUUGAAACUGACCCCACAGCAGAGGACAACAGUCCACAGGGGCAGUGGCAACAUUCAUUGAAAUGUAAUUAAAACCAUUCUUAAAUGUCAUUUUGCAAUUUCUUUAUUUAUUUGUACACAUGUAUUUAACAAGAUGUACAUGUUGUUAGAAGAUAUAGCCUAUAAGAAGGUAAUUUUUAACCUUCUUUUAAACAUCUUUAACUCUGCUACAUUGUAUUGUAUUGUAAGAAAUAAAUUACACUAUUAAAAAUAUUUCCUACAAAUUUAAGAAAAUAAGUUAUUUCAAACUUACCUUUGUUUCAAAGCUAGCAAAACUUGCAAAUAAAGUUGAAGACGCUUGAGUUUAACAUUUUCAGUGUUUACAAUAGAUUGUUAUGAAUUCUGAAGGAAACAUUUUGCGAUGCCAAUUGCAAAC